AAAGAGACAGCUCUGCAAAUGUUGCCACUCCGCACCACCUCCAACCGCAGGCAGGGCAGACCUUUGGCGAGCAGGUCUGUCGCUGACCUGCUGAGGGAGGCUCGCUCGCCCAAGUCUCUGCAGCCCUUCC
rnacentral:lncRNA from 1 species